UGAAUAACUCUCAAAAUUGUAUAUUAACCAUUACAGAAAUGAUUUAUAGUAUUUAUAAGCAUGAGAAUAAACUGUUUUUUUCUGUUUUGUUUUACACUCUAACACUCCUCCUAAACAACAAUGGUUAGUGCCACGUUUCCUUCUCAGUAUCCAUUGGUUCCAUUUCUAAUCAGUUCUGCAUUCGAGACAUUUCUAGGUGCUUCACUUACUACUUUUCCAGGGAAGGGAACAUUUUGCAUAUAUAUACAUUUUUCCUCUGCAUCACUCUCAGUCAUUAAUAUGUCUUUUACUUAAAAGAUUGAUACAAAAACAUAAUUGAAAAUGUACUAGUAUUGCAGUUAUUAAUUAUACAAUCGCAGGGGAUCUGUAUGCUGUACAACUACCAACAGACACGGAUUCUCUAUAAUCACAACAGUGACUACUUCAAAUCUUAACCAUAAAAAACAACAGUGCCUACUUCCUAGUUCAAACAAAAAGUGUCUGUUCUUUUUAGCAUCUUUUUCUACCUGUGCACACUUACUUUCUUUCUACCUUAACACUCUGCAUAUCGAUGUGUUGUGUCUAUUGUUGCAGCAGAUUCAAUAGAAAGUCUCGCAGGCCCCACUUAUUUCAACUUUUACCAUGUGACAGUAAAAAAAUGAGAGUUCAAUUUAUCUAAGCAAUCGUUUUUUUUUUCUUUUUUUCACUCUCUAGCACCUUCAAACAGAACAUAAAGUUACUGUCCAAGACUAUGGUCUCAGAUUUCAAAAAUAAUGCUGCAUGAAUAUUUUCAACUUAUAACAUCCUAGCUUGUAUUUAUCUCGCUUUUGUCUCUAUCUAUCUAGGUGUCUACUAUCCAUAAAUGUUCUCCAUAUAGUUUACAAGUAUAUGUAGAGGAAACUUGCAAGGAAAUGUCAAGCUUGGUCUUGUUUGGAAGCUAACAAAAGGCUGGCUUCCCUGUUGCUAAGAUACAGAUAGGUUUUUUUGCCAGAUGAAGUACAAGUAGGCACGUUAGAAAAACCGGUGUAGUUGCCAUCCAACUUUGAAGAACAUAUUUUUGCAACAAAGUCAAAUUGUUCAUGUUCUUGCACAAAAGGCUGUGCAGCAUAAUCUUCAACUGGCAUCCACUGAAUGAAAAAACGACCCACAUUAGUUAAAAGAAAACAAUUUUUUUUUUACCUUGACAGCAGUAUGAACAAGAUUUGAAUGCAGUAUGGGCAAUUUGAGCCAGACCCUUUCUUUCUCUGCAAAAAACGCAUUGGAAAUAAUUACUGAAGCUUCCAAUAUGUUCAUUGAAGAAGAGCUCAGAAUCCACAGGCUCCUGAUUCUCCAAGCUUACGACAACUCCUCCAUAAUGAUCCUCAACAACACUAAGCAAUUCAACCCUUUCAGCUUCCAUCUCUUCUUAUUGUAACCUAAAACUGGAACAGAUUAGCAGCAAAACGUGGUUGCUAACAAAAAACGUUGAGCUUCAACGAUUAGAGAAGCCAUUUAUAAUCUGCGAAAAGAUAUCAUAUCAAGAAUGAUGCUUGGAUCCAGCCCUACACCUCCUCGUUUGGUUAUGCCACAGAUGUGCCCUUGCCUAACAGAGAUGGAAACGGCAGAGUUCAUUUGUGAUUCCUCUUCUGACGUUGCAUCCACAAUAUAGUGCCUCCCAAUCUAGAAAGGAGAGAUGGUAAGAAACUAUCACAAUUAUGGUCAAAAAGAGAAGAUAACACAUGCUAUACCUUAGUUAGUGUAACUAUAACAGGGACUCAACUUCUGGUUGCUCAUCGUUGGAUGCUCCAGCAGCAACUUGGACUCUUGGAAUACCUGUAUUGCACAAAGCAGCCUAAAAGAACAAUAGUUAUUAGCUGCAUUGGGGUUUUUCCAGUUAAUUUUGAAAAUAUAUUUGCAUAUGGUAUUAAGGAAAUCCAUGAGAAAAAUCUCAUGAAACUGACAGCAAUUUGGUCUGUGAUAUUAUAAAGAUUACAGAAAACAGCUAGUAAAAGGAUAGUUUUAACUUUA